rnacentral:rRNA from 1 species
GAUGAACGCUGGCGGUCUGCUUAACACAUGCAAGUCGAACGGAAUCUUUCGGGAUUUAGUGGCGGACGGGUGAGUAACGCGUGAGAAUCUGCCUUCAGGUUCGGGACAACAGUUGGAAACGGCUGCUAAUACCGGAUGUGCCGAGAGGUGAAAGCUUAAGUGCCUGGAGAUGAGCUCGCGUCUGAUUAGCUAGUAGGAGUGGUAACGGCACCCCUAGGCGACGAUCAGUAGCUGGUCUGAGAGGAUGAUCAGCCACACUGGGACUGAGACACGGCCCAGACUCCUACGGGAGGCAGCAGUGGGGAAUUUUCCGCAAUGGGCGCAAGCCUGACGGAGCAAGACCGCGUGAGGGAAGAAGGUCUGUGGAUUGUAAACCUCUUUUGAUAGGGAAGAAGACAGUGACGGUACCUAUCGAAUCAGCCUCGGCUAACUCCGUGCCAGCAGCCGCGGUAAUACGGAGGAGGCAAGCGUUAUCCGGAAUUAUUGGGCGUAAAGAGUCCGUAGGUGGGUAACCAAGUCAGCUGUUAAAUAGUGAAGCUUAACUUCAUAGAGGCGGCUGAAACUGGUUGUCUAGAGUGUGGUAGGGGUAGAGGGAAUUUCCAGUGUAGCGGUGAAAUGCGUAGAUAUUGGAAAGAACACCGGUGGCGAAAGCGCUCUACCGGGCCUGCACUGACACUGAGGGACGAAAGCUAGGGGAGCGAAAGGGAUUAGAUACCCCUGUAGUCCUAGCCGUAAACGAUGGAUACUAGGCGUUGCCCG